AGCAGCAGUAAUAGUAUUAAUCACUGUUCAUGAAAUUAAUCGUAUUAAUGUUAUUUAAAAAUGAGUUAAGCACCUUGUAUUUGGUGGGGAAAAAAAGAACAACAACCUGUGUGAUCUUCAGGAAGCAGUUCGUUAAAUUCUGACCUCUUAAAUCUGGUGAAAGCUCUUGUAGCGUGCCUGCAUGCUUGCAGAGUGUAAUUUGUUGUAAAAUGGCACAUCAGUGUACACUGGUGUUCACUGCUGCUGUAGCUUGUGGGAUAAAAAUGUUCUCUGCUCCUACACUCUUAAGCCUGGGCAUCACCUACCAGACCUGGGUCAAAUACAAACACAUAUUUCUUAGCAUCACAAACCUUGCUCUAUCAGUACUUAACUUAGAUCCAAAAGCUACUUUCAGGGCAGCAUCUCGUUCUCUCAUUAAUUUCCAGGUAUUACCACUUAUCCAUGGAGGAGUAUUUUUUUGUCUGUGGCUAGAUUUAACUCUCUUUAGGAAAUCUUUCAUUAUAGUUUGGAUUGUAAACAGAAAGGCAUAGCUGUCAGAUUCCACAUCAAAAUAAGACAGAAUACCGUUCCAUUUAAUCCCUUUAAUUGCAUUUUUUUAAGUUGCUCUGUUCUCCCUUAGGUAUUCUAAGCUGACCAGGAUUUCUUACAUCACAGGGACUGAAACGCUUCUUGGCUAAUUUUCUAACUACAAAUAUUAAAUUAUUGUCAGAUAGCUCAGUAAUCAUAUUGAAUGAUUUGACUAUUCUCUCUGGCUUAUUGCUAAAUACCAGGUCAAUCUGAGUCUUUGAAGACUGUAUUAUCUUGUUGGGGCCUUAAUUAACUGUGUAAGAUCAAGAUUUUUUGUUAUGCGCUUAAGAGUUUUCCUGUUACAUUUGUCUUCCGAAUUUAUGUUAAAAUCCCCCAUUAAAAUGACUUCUUUCUCAAAAUUACAUUCUUCUAACAUGCUGUUCAAUUGGUCAAAAUAGAAUUUCCCAUUUGAAGUACCCAACGAAACUUUAUGGGAAUUUCCCCAUUUCCCAUAUAAUUUGUUCACACUGGACUAAACACUCACCAGUCGGAGACAGAAGAUGAUAUGACUUUUUUUUUCAUUCCCAUUGAUCCGUUCAUGUUUGAGUACCCAGUGUGCUUGCGCAUCAGGUGCCAAAAGCACCAUAAUAAAACAUGGCCGCCUCCAUGAAUUGGCUUCUUGCGCCAAUGAUCAGCUCCCAUUGGAGUCCAUGGAACCGGAAAGCGGAAGCUGUCUCCAGUUCUGAUACAUCUCGAUUUGAUUGCCUGAGCGAGCUCAACCCACUCGUCAGGUUAGCACAUUAAUUGGAAAUAGAGAACGUACCACUGGGUUCAGAUUUAGGGGGGAGCUCUGAUCCCCCCCCCGAAAGUGAACUGAUCUCCCCCAAAAAAGACCUGAAUCCCCCUAGUUGCAAUGGCACCGCGAUCAAUAAACAUUGUUUUAAUUCAGUGUGGACAUGGUUAUCACUCUUUUGUGGCUGUAUGUGUGUGGCUGUAUGUGUGUGUGUGUGUGUGUUUACGCAGUCAGCACGCUUGCUAUGCGUACAGUCCCGCGGUCACAAAUUUUGGGCUGUGCGCGGACCCUCCGGACAUGGACGGAUAACGACAUUUACGUCACGAGGACCAAAGCGGACCCUCGCGGAUGCGGAAAGUAUGAAGCAGCCUUAUUAAGUCCAUGGUGUCACAGACGCCCCAUCCCCGCCCCUAGCAGAAAGCCUGAGUGUGAUUCGAACCUGGCUACAAGACGGCACUUCAUAAGUCUUUAACAGGAAUUCACUGCUAACCACUGCUACCCUGCAUCAGAAAGGGCUGUGUGUCAAAUGCACUGGAAGGCCUGUGGUUGUGUCUGUACCCACACACUAGGGGAACUUUCUGUUAUAAGCUUAGACACUGAACAGAAAAUUUGCAAUGAGUCACAUAUUUUCUGGCUUUGGAGAACUUUUUUUUGUUUCACUUCUGCUAUAUUAUAUUUAUGUGGAGUAUGGAGGAAGGGGGCAGCUACAUGUUGUUUUUUUAAUGUAAGAUUCAUUAUUAUAUAGGUACCGGUGUUUAGUUGUUAAAUUGCUUUUUUUGUACAAUGUAGGGCUAUGAGUUUUGUGAGGGAAUGUUUCUCUGUGCUGUAUGUGGUAGUCCUGUUCAAAACUAGAAUUUUUAACAUUUAAUCAGAUAUUUUGAAGUGCCUGUGAUCAAUAAACAUUGUUUCAAGUCA